AACCAUUCUCACCUGCGGCUAGACCUGCGGAAGGAUCAUUACCGAGUUAGGGUGUCUGUUCGCAGCGCCCGACCUCCCAACCCUUUGUCUAUGAUACCUAAACAGUUGCUUCGGCGUGCCGAGGGGUCGUACCCUCGCCGGGCCUCACGGCCGGGAGCGCGCACGUCGACGGCCUUUAUCUAACACUUGAACCCAAAACCUGUCGUCUGAAAACUUGUGAUUAACCAAUAAUCAAAAACA
rnacentral:misc_RNA from 1 species